CAACAGUCUAAACAGUUGUCGGUUCCAUCCUACAGAGCUGCGUGAGAUGGAUUCUGACCACCUCGCUGUGGAUUGGCGCAGCUCAGGAAGCAGUGCAGCUUGACACAGAGCUUGGGAAGCACACCCCCAUUGAUGGUGCUUGCUUUGCAAACAUCCCUGAUUGCUGCGGCCUCUACAAUCCUCUGAAUGACGAACAACUUCAUGGCCUCGUCCUUGGGCACACACCGGUCAACAUCACUGCACAAGGAAGGACCAAGGCCCCAGAGCCUCGUUAAUCUGUUGUCAGAGUCCCUGAUGGCAUGCUAGGUAUUUUUACAAUUGUUCUAAAAUCCCAUUAUCUCCACCGUCCGGGUUGCACAGGGGCCGCCAUUGGCUGAAUACGUGACCGACCACCAAUGAUUCCCUCCAGGGAACGCCAGGCAGAGCUCCCUGGGCUGCUGGCCAUCAUCCAAACAUGCUCCUCUCCGUGGAAAAGAAGUGAUGUCAUACACGGAAGGGGUGGUCUCCACGCACAGGAUACCUGUAAACACCGAAGCAUGUUUCAAAGAAAAACAAAAGUCAAAUUACAGAGCUGCAGAGCUGGGAGGGGCUCGGUGUCCACUUUACUCGUUCUCUCAAGGCAGCCCAGGCUACACCGGUCACUUCCCACUCACCUGUGUGUGUUAUUAUCUGCUCAAUUCAUCU
rnacentral:lncRNA from 1 species